UACAGAGGUCCCGAGCGUUGUUCGGAUUCACUGGGCGUAAAGGGUGCGUAGGUGGUUGGGUAAGUCUGAUGUGAAAUCUCCGGGCUCAACCCCGGAAAUGGCAUUGGAUACUAUCUGGCUAGAGGUUUGGAGGGGGGACUGGAAUUCUCGGUGUAGCAGUGAAAAUGCGUAGAUAUCGAGAGGAACACCAGUGGCGAAGGCGGGACUCUGGGCCGGAUACUGACGCUGAGGAGCGAAAGCGUGGGAGCAAACAGG
rnacentral:rRNA from 1 species